UGAUCACGCGUUAGCAUUGCUUCAUCUCAACUAUCGCACGAGUUACGAUCACACACGCGUUACGAAACUCCAAGAAUCGACAAUGAAAGUAUAAAAAAGAUAAUAAAUUAUUAUUAUUAAUUAUGUUAGGAAAGCUGCUAUUUGAACGCAAUUCUCAUCCAUGGUAAAUCAAGAAACGAUGAUAAAGCAGCAACGCACUUUAUAAGAAAAUGUUCUAUCUUCGUACUUACAAGGUUACAAUGCGAUACAUACGUGGAUGUCCUUAAGCACCAAUCCUUCCAGGCCCAUUUUAAGAACCCUGGCAAUCAUUUCUGCCAAGUCUUGAGAU